CUUGCUCCUUGGGUGACGAGUGGCGGACGGGUGAGUAAUGUCUGGGAAACUGCCCGAUGGAGGGGGAUAACUACUGGAAACGGUAGCUAAUACCGCAUAACGUCGCAAGACCAAAGAGGGGGACCUUCGGGCCUCUUGCCAUCGGAUGUGCCCAGAUGGGAUUAGCUAGUAGGUGGGGUAACGGCUCACCUAGGCGACGAUCCCUAGCUGGUCUGAGAGGAUGACCAGCCACACUGGAACUGAGACACGGUCCAGACUCCUACGGGAGGCAGCAGUGGGGAAUAUUGCACAAUGGGCGCAAGCCUGAUGCAGCCAUGCCGCGUGUAUGAAGAAGGCCUUCGGGUUGUAAAGUACUUUCAGCGAGGAGGAAGGCGUUGUGGUUAAUAACCGCAGCGAUUGACGUUACUCGCAGAAGAAGCACCGGCUAACUCCGUGCCAGCAGCCGCGGUAAUACGGAGGGUGCAAGCGUUAAUCGGAAUUACUGGGCGUAAAGCGCACGCAGGCGGUCUGUCAAGUCGGAUGUGAAAUCCCCGGGCUCAACCUGGGAACUGCAUCCGAAACUGGCAGGCUAGAGUCUUGUAGAGGGGGGUAGAAUUCCAGGUGUAGCGGUGAAAUGCGUAGAGAUCUGGAGGAAUACCGGUGGCGAAGGCGGCCCCCUGGACAAAGACUGACGCUCAGGUGCGAAAGCGUGGGGAGCAAACAGGAUUAGAUACCCCUGGUAGUCCACGCCGUAAACGAUGUCGACUUGGAGGUUGUGCCCUUGAGGCGUGGCUUCCGGAGCUAACGCGUUAAGUCGACCGCC
rnacentral:rRNA from 1 species